rnacentral:lncRNA from 1 species
CGAAGAAGAAGAAGAAGGGCGGCGGCAAGAAGCGGCAGCUGGGCGAUCUGAGGAAGGUGAGGGUCAAGAUCGCCAACCCGCACCUGCGGCGCCUGGUUAGCGGCGCCAUCGCCGGCGCCGUGUCGAGGACGUUCGUGGCGCCGCUGGAGACGAUCCGGACGCACCUGAUGGUCGGCAGCAUCGGCGUGGACUCCAUGGUCGGGGUGUUCCAGUGGAUCAUGCAGAACGAGGGGUGGACCGGCCUGUUCCGUGGCAACGCCGUCAACGUCCUCCGCGUCGCUCCAAGCAAGG